rnacentral:lncRNA from 1 species
GAGGCAGGAGAAUCCUUUGAACUUGGGAAGUGGAGGUUGCAGUGAGCUGAGAUUGCGCCAUUGCACUCCAGCCUGGGCAACAAGAGCGAAACUCCAUCUCGAAAAAAAAAAAGGAAUGUAAGUUAGUUAAUUUACACUCCAGUGGCAUAUUUAUUUAACCAUCUCUUGAUUUCGGGUAGCUAUUACUUUCAUUCUCUUUCACUAUACUUUAUGAUUCUUUUAAUAUUCAACUAUAAGAUAGUAAAAAAAAUUCUUAGAGUUGCUUGUAAAAAAGAAAGUAAUUAUUUGACAGCUACUUGGGAAUUAUGUAUCCAAAAUCUGUACCUUAUUUCUUCUAGUGGAUCAAUGAGACAAUAUUAGUGCCACUUGUUCAAGAGAUUGAGUCUGUCAGCACACAGAUGAGACGAAUGGGUUGUCCAGAGCUACAGAUAGGAGAGGCUAGUAUUACUAGCUUGAAACAAGCUGCCCUGGUUAAAGCGCCUCUCAUUCCGACUUUGAACACAA